CGCGCAGCGUGGCGAGAACUGGGGGCCGGGUGGGGAGCGCCGAGACCGGCCGGUCCCUGGUGGCGCAUAGAAAGCGCCUGGGGACCAGGGUCGGGGAGCGCAGUUGACAGGCUGUGCGUUCUGGGGUGGGACCAGGUCCUUCCAGCUCAUCUCAGUAGCCAGUAGAAGCAGGGACGACGGACGGUGACCUCCGUGAGCAUGAGGACCCUGUCGCCUAUGUUCACUUUCACAUUUUCAGCACCCAGGGCAGUGCCUAGAACAUGCCCACGCCUGGCACAUAGGUGCUCAAUAAAUAUUUGAUAGACGUUGAGAUGUGAUGGAGUGAAUUAUCAGGACCAGCUCUGUGACUGUCGCCUUCGGAUGCAGUACUGUAACUAUCUUCUGUCCCUCGAAGAGCUUCUAGUCUAAUGGGAAAACAGAUGUUUAGCAGCUGCUCCCAAGAAAGAAGAUUCCCAGUGCAGAGAAAAUAGAGCUGAAUGCGUACAUGAGAGAGAAAGGAGAAAGUGGUUCUGAUGAGUGUUUCUGUGCCACAAGUCACCCUGAAGUUUGGUGGCUUGGGAGGGAGCUUUGUUGGGUGACGGGAGUGUUCUGUAUCUCGGCUGUGAUGGUAGUUUCGUGACUGUACAUUUGUCAAAGUCAGCAAACUACACCUGAAAAGGGUAGAUCUUACUUAGUCUAUGUUAUACUUUAAUAAGCUGCCUUUCAAAACUGAAACAAGGGGUGCCUGGGUGGCACAGUCCGUUGAACGUGGGGCUCUCUGCUUCCGCCCAGGUCUCCCGGUUGUAUGGUCGAGCCCUGCGUCAGGGUGCACGCGGAGCGUGGAGUCUGCUUGAGAUUCUCUCCCUCACCCUGUCCCUCUCCCCCUCCAAAUAAGUAAACAAAAAUCUUUAAAAAAAAACUAAAAACUAAACCCAAACCCUUAGAGACUUGCGACAAUAACUGUUGGUUACGCCCACAGACGCUGCGGAGGGGGGAUCAGGGCUGGACACAGUAGGAGGCCUAGGCGUCGGCUGGGAGAACCCCAGGCUGGACAAGGACCAAGUGGCCGAGGUGGGGUCACAUGGAGGCCCCUGG